GACGAACCGGUGCGAACGUUGUUCGGAAUCGACUGGGCUUAAAGGGCGCGUAGGCGGGCCGACAGUCUGUGGUGAAAGCCCCCUGAGCUCAACUGGGAGUGCCAUGGGAAUACGUGCCGGUCGGGAGGAGGGGUAGGGGGCGUCUGGGAACGCUGGGUGGAGCGGUGAAAUGCGUUGAUAUCCAGCGGAACUCCGGUGGCGAAGCGAGGCGCUGGACCCUUUCUGACACUGAGGCACGGAAAGCGUGGGGAAUCAAACAGGAGGUUAGA
rnacentral:rRNA from 1 species